GGAAUCUUCCACAAUGGGCGCAAGCCUGAUGGAGCAACACCGCGUGAGUGAAGAAGGGUUUCGGCUCGUAAAGCUCUGUUGUUAAAGAAGAACACGUAUGAGAGUAACUGUUCAUACGUUGACGGUAUUUAACCAGAAAGUCACGGCUAACUACUUCGCCAG
rnacentral:rRNA from 1 species